rnacentral:rRNA from 1 species
GACGAACGCUGGCGGCGUGCUUAACACAUGCAAGUCGAACGGAAAGGCCCUGCUCGCAGGGUACUCGAGUGGCGAACGGGUGAGUAACACGUGGGUGAUCUGCCCUGCACUUCGGGAUAAGCCUGGGAAACUGGGUCUAAUACCGGAUAGGAGCCAUUUUUAGUGUGAUGGUUGGAAAGUUUUUUCGGUGUAGGAUGAGCUCGCGGCCUAUCAGCUUGUUGGUGGGGUAAUGGCCUACCAAGGCGGCGACGGGUAGCCGGCCUGAGAGGGUGGACGGCCACAUUGGGACUGAGAUACGGCCCAGACGCCUACGGGAGGCAGCAGUGGGGAAUAUUGCACAAUGGGCGCAAGCCUGAUGCAGCGACGCCGCGUGGGGGAUGACGGCCUUCGGGUUGUAAACUCCUUUCGCUAGGGACGAAGCUUUUUGUGACGGUACCUAGAGAAGAAGCACCGGCUAACUACGUG